CAGAAUACAUAGAGCAGAAUGCAACACUUGCUUUCCAGGCUGCGAUUUGGAAAUGGAUGACACCGGUCAAAAAGUCCCAACCUUCUGCCCAUGAUGCCUUCGUUGGCAACUGGAAGCCUACCAAGAACGACACUUUAGGGAAACGGGUUCCUGGUUUCGGUGCUACAAUGAACAUUCUCUAUGGCGAAGGUGUUUGUGGACAGGGUGAUGUUGAGUCAAUGAGCAAUAUCGUUUCCCAUUACCUAUAUUAUCUUGACCUUCUUGGUGUCGGCCGUGAACAAGCUGGGACCCAUGAUGUCCUUACAUGUGCUGAGCAGCUUCCUUUCAACCCAAACACCAAACUUGCAGCAUCUUAAAUUAGAUCAUAUUUAUCAGCAUAUGAUAUUGUUGUGCUUAUACCUUUGAAAAUGGUAAGCUAAUAAUGGUUCUUAAAGUUAUUGGCAACAAUGCAAUAAUUUUGAACUGUGUGGAAGAAGUGUGUGAAUUCUUUAUAGUUUUUCUUUGUUGUUGUGUAGAAGUUAAGUCAUUUGUAAUAUCAUUACACUUUGUGAGAAAUUUGUAUCUGGUAUAUAAUUACGUUAUGGAUGUUUUUUGUUAUUAUAUAUAGAUUUUGUUAUUAUAUAUACAUUCCUUGGUUAUUGGUUGCAUAUGUUUUAAUGUAAAUUUGAAGCUGUUUAUUUCAGACACAAUAUCGCCCACAAUUCUUUAUGAUCCACUUGUCAAAUUUUGGGUUACACAAAUUCAAUUGAGCAUAAAAAUCUAAACUAUCAAAGUGCAAGUAUUUAGUAACUUUGUACAAGAAAGAAUACAAUAUUCCUCGUAAUCAUUUUUAUUUUUCUAUGUUUUGCUCAAAUGACAUCCUUUUUGGUUAAAACCAAGCUCAAUCGUGUUUUAGUGUCCACCAUUCGAUUUCAAAAAAUUUCUAUACCAUUCAGCAGAAGCCUUUGGUAUAUGUUUGAGACUAUUAUUAAAAUCAACAUGAUAAAGUCCCCAAUGUCCAGAAUAGCCCGCUUCAAAUUCAAAUGUAUCGAAUGCUGUCCAGACGAAGUAACCACGAACUUUUACAUCGUUGCUAUUGAUGAAAAUAUUAAAAAUUAGCUUCAUAUCUUCCAAUAGGUUUAUUAUAUAUGUAUUUACUUGUAGAAUGAUAGGGAUAAAAAUGGAUUACUUACUCGAUUGCUGCUUUAGUAGCGUUAAUAUGUUCUGUAAUAUAAGCAAUUCGGUGUUCGUCCAUCAAUGGAUUUGGAUUGUUGGAAGAAGGAGUACCUUUAUAAAGAGGAAUUCAAAGAAAAAGUAUUGAUUAAUUUAUUUUUUUUGAAAAAAAAUUUAGAUAUCAUUUUUUUUUCUUACUAAUUGAUAUAAUUUAUAAAGUGAUAAAUUUGAAAACAAAUACAACAGGGUUCCACAAACCAUUUUCAGUGAUGUAGAUAUUAGGAUUUUUGUACUUUUCCUUUAUAAAUAUUAAAACAUCAUACAAUCCUUUGGGAUAGACAUAACGUCCACUGUAUUGAUCCUACAAAUUUGAAGCAUUAAACAAAAGUGUCAUUGAAAAAAUUAAAUUAAUCUCAUUCAUUUAACAUAUAUACAACAUUUUCCUAUUCAUAACUAUCUCACCUUGUGACCAAGGGGUUUUCCUUCAAUAUUAAAUUCUACAAUUUUGAAAUAGAGGGCAAAAAUUAGUAAAUAUAAUUGUGUAAUUUUCUUUUUCUUUUGCUUAUCCAACAAUUAAAAUAUAGUGCGAGAAAAAUUAGAUUACCUUCUGAUGUAGUAGCUAAGGCAUCAAAAUUGUCAAGACCAUUAAUAUUUGUUCUAUUUGGUUCGUAUCUAGCAAAUUGAGAUGUAUAAUAAUUUAUUCCGAUAAAAUCUGCACUUCCUUUGAUCAUAUGUUUCUCCUUUUUAGUGAAUUUGGGCAACCUAUUUCCCACUAAUUUUCUCAUAAUUUGUGGGUAAUCUCCAUAAAACAAUGGCUCUAAAAUCCUGUUCGGUAAAAAAUAUGAAAACUCAAUUUUAUUAUUAUGUAUGUAUGCAUGUAUGAAUUAAGUCGGAGAAUAUUACACUAGUAAUUAACAUAACACAAAUGACUAUGAGGUAAAAGUUCCAUGAUAAGUGUUUAGUCUUGUAAUCUCAAGGACGAAGUUUAAAUCAACUAUUGUGAAAUGUCCGUCUGAUAGCGCUAUGAGCGCAUACGAAAAAGAAAAAAAAAUAAACUAUUGUGAAAUGAAAUUUUAUUUAUUUUUUGAUGAAAUUGUGAAAUUAUUAACUUUCUCCUUGGUUUUCUUUUGAAAAAGUUAAUACAACAUAUGGAGGUGUGGUUCAUAGGGUAAAUUAAUUUCACUAACCAUCCCAACCAAAAAUCCAUUAGUCUUUGAGCAGCCGCCACAUCCUCUGGAUUUGAACUAUAGGGAACAAAACCUUGAUAUGAUAUAACAAUUCCAAUAUCUCCCCUUUGUGUUUCCUGCAUCAAAUGUUUGAUGAAAUUUAAAAACAUCCUAUAACAUAACCUAAUUAAAUUUAUUUAAUAUAAACAAAUUAGUUUCAUUGUAAUAAUAAUUAAUGUCAAAUUAAUUUAUUAGUUUCUUUUAUAAUUUUGCAACCAUACAUAUAAUCAAAGUCAAGCCAUAAGAGAAAAAAAUUCUAAAGCAUUUUUUAUGAUUUUUUAUAGACAAAUGUUAGAUAUUUAUUUGGAGACCUCUUUCAUAAUACUCUUUCAACAUUCUAAUUCAUUACCACCAAUGACAUCACGGGGGAGCCAAGGCCCACAAAGCAUGGGCAGUUGUCCGGAUUCUGGCAAUUUUUUUGGUGGUUUUAGGAGUUUGUUUAAAAUAAAAUUGGGAUUUUUAGGGAUUAGUUUAUAAGGCAAAACUGAGAUUUUUUUUGUUGAACUAAUCAUAUAUUAUGUCAAAUAUGGAAUUUUAUCCGAGUUUUAUAAUAUUUUUUGCUCUGCCACCGAAAGACAAGGUGACGAUAUAAAGACAUUACACUAACUUUAAAAAAUGAAGUUUAUACUAUAUUUGUAACACAAUAUAUAAAACAUACUUGAAAUUUUUGUCUAUAUAAAUGUGUUGCUGUAGCAUGGCAAAUGAGGAAGUUAUGAAGGACUGUAUAUGCUUGUGAACAUAUUUUUGUAUCUUGGCAUGGUUCAGCAGCAUCAUUAUCAUAGCCAUGCAUGUAUUUGUAGAUAGCUACGACUUGUGGUUCAUUUGUUGUUGUCCAAUGCUUUACUCUAUCUCCAUAUGUUUUGAAUAGUAGAUUACAAUAAUCUUUGUAAUAUUUCCUGAAUUUUGAUUGAUUUUAAAUAAACAAAUUUGCAUGAUAAAAUUCUAUAAGUUUUAUGUAGACAAAUUCACAUUAAAAAUAAUAAUUUUUUUAACGGUUAAUAGGGGUUUAUCCCUUGCAAUGUGGGCGUGUUUUGGUUUUGCCCCUAUAAUAUUUAUUUUUUUGAUUACCCCUGCAAUGUGAAGAUUCACUCGUUUACCACCCUCAUGGAAUAUGUUUACUUAAAAUUUCGUCAUUUUGCCCCAUGUAAUGUUAGCGGAUUUUUGUUUGACUCCCUCGCUAACCAUGCCACGUCAUCAUUUUUAUAGAAUCUUAAGUCAACAUAUUUCACGGGGGAGGUCAACGAGAGAAUUUUUAUAUUAUAGGAGAGGUAAACCAAAAAGAAUAUUGCAGGGAUAAACACCUAUUAUCUUUUUAAAAAUAGAAUGUUGAGAUGAAAUGAUAUUGAAGGUUGAUUAAUUACACAAUAGUGUGAUUUAAGAAGCCACCAAUCUUUUGUUGAAUGGCUACUGGAUAGUCAAAAUGCACAAUAGUUACAAAAGGCNNNNNNNNAUAAAUAUAAUUAAUGCAAAGGAAUAUGGUUUUUUUUGUUCAUACCAUUUGCAAGUAACUCAUUGAUCAAAUUGUUGUAAAAGUUGAUACCUUCUUUGUUUAUACCUCCUUUCAAGGUUCCAUCUAUGUUUGAUUGUUGAAAAUGAUGAGAAAAUUGUUACCGUUAAAUAUAUUCGACAAGGAAGCAAUAUAUAGUAAAAUGAAUUGGUGUUAACCCAAUUUCUAAAAAAGGGAACUUAGUAAUUCGGAGUUCGGCCACAAGGUAAUUAAAGUUUGACAAAAAAUUGUUUCAUCCAAGAAUCAAACUUGAGUUAAGGAAGUCGAUUUGAUUUGUAAAUGAGAUUUUCCAUGGGAAUUGCUCCGUUUGGGACACCCAUAAACGGAGAAUUUUUCCCCAUCUCCGUGGAUGGGAAUGGAGGAAAAAAUCCUCCGAAGGAGUUUUGGGUAUGGGGAUAUAAUUAUAUGUUACUAGUUUAGAGACAUGUGCAUUCGCACGAGUCUAUUGACUUUUAUUCGAUAUUUAAGUUUGUCGUUGUAUUAAGGUAAAAAAUUUAUUUAGAAUAAACUAUUUAAAAAUUUGUUAUAAAAUAUUAUUAAAAUAUAAGUGAAACUAUUGCGCUAGUUCUUGUAAAACUUAUUAAGGGCCGUUUGGAUUGAUUUAUUUUUGGGCUUAUUAGUGUAACAUUACAUAGAAGGUGGAAUAUGGAGGAAGAAUACUUCGAAGUGGGGAAUAAAGACGGGUAUGAAGAUCAUUUUAAAUGUUGAGAAAUUGUGUAAUAAAGUACUUCCCGCCCCGUGACAUCCCUAACUAUAUUAUUUUAUUUUCAAAAUUUACCGGGCAAAAUUCUACUCCAUGAAAUGGACAUUCUGUAAGAAUUCACUCCAAGAUAUUUCAAAUGUUUCACAUCCUCCUAUAAAAUCAUAAAAAAAAAAAAAAUGAAAAUUAGAACACAACAAUUGGUAGAUACACGAUACUAUGAUCGAUAAAAGAAGAUAUAUGAUAUGAAAACUAAAUCCUUAUUCACCUUGUAUCUUUUGUAAUGUUCGAUCAUUGUGGAAACUUUAUCAGCAUCCAGAAACCUUUCUGCAUGUUGUUAAAGAAGGAAGCAAACUAAAUAAAUAAUGGGUAAGACAAAAAAACUCGAUAAUUAUGUGUAAUUCUUUAUCUGUUUCUUUCUAAGUGUCUAACUAUUUUUCACGAUAUUUUUCUUUUCAUUUUUAAAGUUGAACUAGUAAAGGGUCACAAGUUGAUGUGAUUAUUUGAGCAUGUCACGCAUAAUAUUAAUAUAUGUAUUGUGUAAUAUUAUCUCUAAAUAAAGAUAAGAACAUAUUAAUCUUUAUUUUUUUAAGAAAAAAGAAGAUAAGAACAUAUCAAAAUGUUGAUCUAGCAUAAAUAUUGCAAAUUAAGUUGAUUAACCUUUUUUAUCAAAAAAAAAACAGUUGAUUAACCUUUGUGUCUUUCAACUAUAUCUUCCCAUANNNNNNNNNNNNNNNNNNNNNNNNGAAUCUCCUUCAAUCUAAAUUCAACAAUUAACAUUAUCAAAAAAAAAAUCAACAAUUAUAACUUAUUAAUGAUAAAUUAUUUAAACCAUUCAAAAACUACUACGAAAAAUUAAAUUAAAUUAAUGAAGGAAUUUAGAGAGAAAAAAACGAGAAAUUCUCUCUAAAUUUAAAUUUGUAACUAAAUCUAAGUUUUCCAAUUAAUAGUCUAAAAAAUGUUGUAACUUUAUGUUUCUUUGUAUAAUUAUUAGUCACUAACUAGGGAAUAAACAAAGUAAAUGAUGAAUCGCCUCGCAAGUUCAACUCAAUUAAUAGUUGUAGGAUGUUGAAAUCCAAUAACCACUACUUGACAAAAAAAUAAAUAAAUUUAUUGACGAAUUUUGUACACUUUUAUGCUAAUAAUAGAUCUUUCAAUACUUUUGUACUAGAUGCAUCACUAGCUUAGUACAAUAUACUAAACUACUACAUUUUUUUGUUACUAACUUUUGUUGCUAAUUUUUAUUUCUAGCAGUGGAAAAAAACACUUAAUAAAUUUGAAGGUAUUAUUUAUCUACAAAUUAUGAACAUUUACCUGUAAGGAAGAAGAUCCAACACCAAAAAGAAAAUCAGAUGGAAAUGAUGCUCGUUUCGAAAAACUUGAAGAAUUUUGAGACCUCUUGAAUGAAAUAUGAUUUUCUUCUCCUAUCUAUAAUAUUCAACCAUUAUUACAUGUUAAUGAAUUAACAUAAGCUCUUUUAUUUUAUUUUUGUUGAACAAAUUUUUUUUAGAAGCAUUAAAUAUUAUUAUAUCCAAAUUGAUUACACUAAGUAAAAGACCACCAUACGUUGCUAAUCCUUUCUUGAACGCGCGUCCCCGUGCGUUAGCACGGGUAAAUUACUGGUUAACUAUGUUAUCUAUUAAUAUAAUAAUGUAUUCGACUUAAUUAUGAGCACCUUUAUUGGAGCAGGAGGCCUAGAACCGGCUAACAAGUCACCUCGAAGUGAUGAUUUCUUUUUAAAAUGCGUAUCUGUAAUAUAUGAAAAAUAAGUGUCGGAAAUAUGAUUUAAUAGAAAACAAAAUACAUAUAUUGAGUUCAUUUCAAAAUAAUUACUCCCUCUAGUCACUAUUAUAAAUAAAAAAUUACUUUUUAGAUUUACAUAAAAAUUGAUGUAUCUAGUCCAUAAUAUAGGCUGAAUACAUCAAUUUUUCAAUUAACAUAAAAAGUGAUUUUUUGCUUAUAAUAGUGACCGGAAGGAGUAACAAUUAUUGUUUUGUACCCAAAAAAAAAUUAAUAAUUAUUGUCAAUAAAACAACUAUUUAUAGAAAAUUCUUUUAUAAACUUUAAAAUCUAACUUCUCUAUAUAAAAAAUAGUUUUUUCUUUAUCAGGUAGCCUAUUAGGUAGAAAUUUCACCAUUUUAAGAUGAAUAAAUGGAGUGUUCGGGGUUCGAACCCCGACUCCUCCAUAUAAAAUGUUGAUAUCCCUACCAAUUUCAAAACAAAAAUUGGAUCUUUAAUUUUUGUCCUUGAUUAGAUUUUUUUUUAUCAAAAUUUAUCUCUCCAUACUUAAAAAUAAAAUAUUCAUUUCUAUUGAGAAGUUAAUUAGUAAUUACAGCAUUGUAGAGAUUAUAUAUAUAUAUAUAUAUUAUUGUAUAGUAGAAAUUAUUAAAAAAACAAUUCUACCAAAAAAAAUAGAAAACUAUCGGAAAACAAAAGAAGAGAAAUAGCAAACCUUGAGCUUGAGACAAAUUGGAAAGCAAAACAAUAAUAGACAAGAUUGUAAGAAUAAAUUUCAAAGAUGAUAACAUCUUCAUUUUCUGUCUCCUGUAGAAGAAAAAAAAUCACAAUUGUUUAUUGAGUAGAAAAAUCUUCAUUUUAAUACUAUAUAUAGUCGAGGAAAAAAAACAACCUUACUACGUUCAUGACAGCUAUAGUGAGAUGUAUUUCUAUAUUUGAUUGUAAACUAUAAUCCAGCCUUUUAGGCUUAAUGAGUACAACUCAAAUAAUGUUUUCUCCAUCCAAAUGAUGUUGUUGUUAGUGUCGUUAUCACGUAGAAAAUACCCUUUUUUUUUACCAAUCAAUUUUCUUGUUUUGUAUAGAUAAAAUUAUAUAUAAUUAAAAAAUCGUAGGAGAAAAAGAAAGAUGUCAAUACUCCCUAACUAUGGAUUUAAUGUUCCUAUUUAAUUGUCGUUUUAGUNNNNNNNNNNNNNNNNNNNNNNNNNAAUAGGAAUUUAUUAGUGGAUUAAAAUAAGGGUAUAAUAACAAGAAAAUGAACAAAAAUAUAUUUCGCUAGUUUGGUGUUAUUAUUACUCACUUCGUACCAAAUUAUCAGUCACUUUGACGAUAAAAUUUGUACCAAAUUAUAAGUUGCUUUACAUUACAGAUGAAACAUUUAAUAUUAUUUUUCAUAUUAUACUUUCAACUAUUUAUUCCUCUCUCUUCUUUCAAUUCUUCAAUUUAUUUUUUCCAUACCAUAAAUGAAGGACAAUUUUGUAAAUCAACUCAUAAUUUCUCAAUCUUUUUCAUACAACAUUAAUUACAUUUCUUAAUAUGUGUAAAAGUGGCAAAGUGACUUAUAUUGUGGUACGAAGAGAGUAUUCAAAAUAACACUUAAAAAGCAAUGGAGGGAGUAUAUAUAAUUAUAAAAUUGUAGGAGAAAAAUAGAGAUGUCAAUAUUGUACAAGCUUAUGAAGUCAGGAUGGGGUCAUAUAUAAUUUUUAACCCAACCCUUAAAAUAAAGAAAUUAGUAAAAAAGAAGAAAACUUCAUCGUAUCCACCUUCCCCUUAGAUUCUCAAAAGCCCUCCAAAUCCAUUCUUUUGGCAAUCUAACCCUCUUAUAGAUUUUGAAAUAUGGAUGAUUAUGAGAACUCCAACAUUAAGAAGAAAGAAUCACUUAUCCCAAGCGUCAUUGUACAAAUGUGGCACUUUAUUUUUUAAGGUUAUUUUUGUUAUAACACAAGAUCAAAGUCACAUAUCUUAGGCGCAGCUUGAGCCUAUGAACAAGGCUCUGAAGACAGACUCUGAAGCACUUGGUUAACAUACACUUUCUUGAGAGCUAAGUAACCUAUACUCUAAGUAACUAACUUAACAACCAAUUCUAAGUAUCAAUGUGCAUGCUUCUACCAUUGGAGAUUGGAUUCUUAGCAAGGUUUAUAGCAAAUUUUUUAAUCAAUUCUAAGUAUCAAGGGCUUCACUGGUUCACACUUAACCUCCUUCAUCACUGAAUUCAGCCACAUUGCUUGACAUGUUGCAAAAGUCCCUUCAAUAUACUCAGCUUCAUAAGAUGAUAGUGCAGUCACUAGUUGUUUCUUUGUGCACCAUGAUAUUGCAGCAUUGUUGACUUUGAACACAUAAUCAGAUGUGCUCCUUCUAUCAGUUAUGUCACCACACCAAUCACUAUCAGAAUAUCCUACCAAGGCACACCCUUCUCCAUUUGUACCAUUAUGAAAUAACAGGCCAUAAUCCAAUGUGCCUUUGAGAUACCUAAAAAUCCUCUUAGCAGCUAUCACAUGAAGUUUUCUAGGAUCAUGCAUAAAUUUACUAAUCACAUGCGUUUGAUUCGUAAAACAGCAAGGACGAGACAUAACAGUACAGGACAAAACAAGAUAAUACAGGACAAGACAAAAUUGUGCCCGAGAGAUAUAGGACGAUAAUAUUUUUAUAUUCGAAAAUAAAAUGGGUAUUUUCUUUCUUUUUUUUUUAUAUAGUUGUACUGUGGACAAAAAGUUGCCUCGUACAAAAAAUCUUGUUUUUGUCCUAUCUCUUGCUACCUAAUUUGUCCAUUCUCAUAACCAGUUUCAAAUCAAACAGGGUUCAAUAAAAUUUGUCUUGUCCAAUCCCCUGUUUUUUAGCAGAUCAAACUGAAAUAUCAGGCCUACUAUUACACACAUAUCUCAAUAAGCCAACCAUUUGUCUGAACAUGGUUGAAUCAACCUUCUCUUCAUUGUUGCACUCGUCAAGUUUUGAAUUUGUCUCUGAUAGAUUUGACAACGAAUUGCAACUAUUCAUUUUAAAUUUUUCCAGUAAUUCACCAAUGUACGUCUGUUGAUGCACUACUACACAAUUCUUCACUUUCAAAAAUUUCAUUCCUAAGAAAUAAUUUUUAGUUUCGACAAUUUGGAUGUUAAUUGUUCUUGUAAUACUGAUGUCGGGUGGUUAUGGAGUGGUUCUUUUUUUCUUCUUUAUUUUGGCCAAAAAGUAGCUCCGUUUUACAAGUUUCUUUCUUGUUGUUGAACCUUUGAAAGUCGUUAAUCCCGAACUUAUCUGAAGUCAUUUUGAGGCCUCCUUAAUAUCUCUGACCCUUACCAGUGUACCAAAUUAAUCAGACAAGUUGAAGGUUAACACUUAACCCAACUCACAAGGUUAUUUGUUUAUCGGUGGUGAGUGGUGACUACAACAUUCCCUCACCUUUGGAAAAUGAACAUCAUUUGGAUUUUGGUGCUCUUAUAAAAUAUAAAUCAGUAUAUCAAAGCACCUCACUAACUAUGAUCGUUGACUAGUGAGCAGCAAAACUGCAUUUUCUGUCCAGCUCGCCUAGCGAGCUUAAAGCCUCGCCUAGCGAGGACAGAGCACAGCUGCAGCUGCUAUUGCUGAAGCAUUCCAUCUCCCUUUUUGGUAUCUCUUGCUGCAUAAUGUAAGACUUUCGUUCGUUCCUUUUUCUCACUUUGUUUCCAAGCCUUAGAACUCUCUAUUCAAGGAAGUCUCAUUCUUUAAACGCCUCAUGUUAAAUGGCGUGCAUGUACAACCUUACAAGAAAAGAGGAAUGGAUGCAUUGGAAUGAAGCUCCCCGAGUUCUCAAUGCCAGAAUCUUGUUGUUGUGUUAACAGGUGGGUUCCUUUAGGAAACACUCUCACUACAAUAGAGUAGCUUUAUUAGUUUUUCCCAAAUUCAAUUAUGCAUGUGUAAUGAAUAUAGGCCCGGAGAAUAAAAUAGCCCCAAAUUGUAGUCACUCAUGGAUUCUAGAUCCUUCCUCUCUAUUAGUGAGUCACUCAUUAUCUAGAAUGUUCUAGAUAUCUCUUUAGGAUGAGAUGCUAGAGAAUAUGCCAAUUUCUAGUCUAUAUAUAAUGGCAUUAGAUGAAUGUAAUAAUCAAGCAAAAUGAAUGAAAAAGUUUGUUAAUUUAAAUUUAGUGUAGUUUGUUAGUAGAUUUUAGCAAUUAUCUCUUCAAGUUAUGAACAACAAGUUGUUCAUAACAGCAUGUUCCCUUCUUAACAGAAAAUAUGUGUAUAUGGGUAUUAUGAGUCGGUGCAUGCAUGCCAUGAACCGAUGCAUAAGCCCCGCAAUAUAUAAUUAUAUAUAUUUAUAAAAUAAGGGAAAGAUACAUCGGUGCAUCACCUAGUUGAAUUGGUUCAGCCUGAACCUGAGAGAGGAUUGCAUCGGUGCAAACCACCUUGAGUCGUUGCAAGCUCGUAUUUUACAAGAAAUGUAAGGCCAGAAUAUAUUGAUAUAAAAUCAUUUGAAUCGAUACAUUAUGGAACUUUAUUAAAAAACAUUUUGGCUUAUGUGUAGGAGGAUAUAUUAUCUUGACCUUCUUGGUGUCGAUCGUGAACAAGCUGGGACUCAUGAUGUCCUCACAUGUGCUAAUUAACCAGCUUCCUUUCAACCCAAACACCAAACUUGCAGCAUCUUAAAUUAGAUCAUAUUUAUCAGCAUAUGAUAUUGUUGUGCCUAUACCUUUGAAAAUGGUAAGGUAAU
rnacentral:lncRNA from 1 species